ACUCAAUUGAUAUGGCAUCAAUAUUAAAAAAAAAGCAGUUGAUACCUCAAUCACAAUCUUGAACGUUUAUAACAUAAAUAUUGUGUAUUAUUUACAAAAACAAUAAGUUCAUACAUACCUCUUUGAAAUUGUCAGAUGAUUAAUUUGGAAUUUUUAAGAAGUUAGUGUUUCUACAUAUUAAGUUAAGGUUUAUGUACCCUUCUGUAGCCAUUUUUGUGCGAAUUUUUUAAACAUCAAUUGUAUCAAAACUACAUAUAUAAUGAAUAAAUGACACAGGCCAUUUUGAACAUAUACUAGGGGGAAACUUGAUGCAAAGCAUUAUUAUUUACUGUUGCAAUGCAUUUAAUAGAAAAGGAGUACUUCGUGGCAAAUAAACCAAGAUUUUUAUAGAAAAUCCACAGCCUUUAAUACAGAGAUUUUUGUUAUAAAAUUUGAAACAUAGAUUACUCACUUGCUUUUCUAUGAUGUGCUAGUGUUUGUUUUUUAUAAAAAGUUCUAACCAACCUGUAAAUUCCAAAAUACCUCGUGUAGAGUAACUAAAUUCGAACGCACCCUAAAAGGUGUACUUGAUUUGGUCCAUAUUUGUAUUUGUUCUAACCAAUAACUACAUUAAUAAACUUGUUUUAAAGAAAUCAAUGCUAGCACUGCAUGUAAUAAUCCUAUAUAUAUCGGUCAUCAAAUUGCCAAAUAUGAUUAGAACAAGGAUAAAGGCUGUGGAUUUUCUAUAAAAUUUCCAUAUGUAGCAUUGAAGCAACACAAGGGUACAUAAUCCUUAACCUUUAAUAGAUGGAUUUGUCUACUAUUAAAGUUAUACAUCUCAAACAAUUGACUAUACCACGCCUCACUAUAUAUUAGCCUGUCCCAAGUAAUGAGCCUACAAUUCAGUGGUUGUCAUUUGUUGAUGCAUAUGAUAUGAUAUGAUAUGAUAUGAUAUAUAUAUAUACAAUUACUGUCUUUUGAUGAGGUUAAUAUGUAGUUUUAUUUACUUUGGAAAAAAAUUAACUCAGGCAACACUAGGCGGUGUUGUCUUAGAAGUGAGAAUAAAAAUUUCUAGUUCCAGCACCUCUCGGAGAGGAAUCAAAGAAGAGAAAGAAUCAAAUCGUCUCUAAAAUUGCUCAAUCGGUCAUUAGUUUGUACUAGAUAAACAAGAUAAAUUAGAUACUACAUAAGUAUUUUGCAUAAGUUCGGUUUGGCCUAGUAGUUUCAAAGGAAAGAUUACGGACGACGACGGACGAAGGACGACAAGUGAUGAGCUAAACAUUGUAAAGCAUUGUUGCAUUUAGGAGUAAAAAAAUGCUCUUGUUAUAUAGAUGCUCGAUCUGAAUAGGCAGCUACCCUAUUGAUUGCUUUAUAAAAAGACAAAUCUCUUCUUUUUCAUGAUAGACUUUUAAGGGAAGAAAC
rnacentral:lncRNA from 1 species